rnacentral:lncRNA from 1 species
CCUACACUCCAGAAAUUCAGAAAAGUUCUCUUAGUCUCCCUCAUUGUUGUGAGUCCCUAGAAGAAGAAGGAGAGAAGCUCUUGCUACCUCAGACGUUCCAGGGAGAACUAAAGCCCUAGCAUAGCCUUGCUCGACCUCAAGUUCUUGAUCGGCCAAUCAGUCCAUUGAAAAGUGUAAAUCUAUGUCUAGUACUUUCCGGCCAUCUUAUUCUGAUUUUAGUUUUCAAUUUAGAACUAUGUGUUUUAUUUUCCGAAUUGGAUGAAAUCUUUGUUGAGAACUAAGUGACUUCCAGUUAAUAAUAAUUAUGAUUUCGGUGUUCUGAGGAUGUUAUGUGAUUGAGUUAAUUGCCUUAGAAAUCAUUGAAAGCAUGUUUUUGUUUGAUAUACCUAUGUUAGAAUGCAUGCUAACUAAUGCUAUGAUUUGUACUAAGCCUCGUAGAUAAGUAUAGAUCACCAGUAGUGGAGGCUAUAUCCUAUAUGGUUGAGAGCAUGUUUUGCAUGUGAAUGGUUAAGCGUCAUACGUAAACUCUUUGCAUGUUAGGGUUCGUUCUUUUACGUAAUAAUUUGCAUGUUUGUAGACAGAUACUUAAUAGUAUUGAUAGCAACAACAUGUAAAAUGUUCUAAGUUCAGAUGUUUUAGCUUGGAUGACUAUUUAGAAGAACCGAUUAAAUGCAUGACCUCGUAGGCUUGUAUUUAGAACCCUUCUGUGUUUCUCUUUGGUGAUAACUCGAUUAUGUGAUUAAAAUUCAUUGGUUUAUACUUAUGUUUUCUGGAAUAUGGUUUUGAAAGUGUGGAAGUCGAUCACUUGUAUAUAUUAGUUUAGCUUUUAUCUUUAUCUUUUAGUAGGAACAUUAGAACAAAUCUCAAAACCCCCAUGUUUAUCUUGUAUCAUAUAUAUAUUUGUAAAUGAAUAUUUGUAUAUAUUUGUAUUGAUAACUCCUGACUUUUUACAUGAUAGCAGCACCCUUAGUCCCCGAAUUGAUCGAACAUUAUUUGCCUUAUACUACGAUUGUCAAAAAAGGUUCUUAAUUAUCGCAUGCCCGGUACCGAGCACGUCAAUAACAGUUUUAGUUUCCUUCAAAAACGGAUUUGCGGUUACUAUGUAUCACUCUCCCACGUUUUCUAGAUUGCGCAUAAAUGUGGAACAACAAAAAUUCUUUCGUGCAGAUUCGGGAGCCUACCAGCCAAGUUCGUGCAAAGAGAAAAUUUGUGGUAUUUGAGAGAGAAGUCGAUCAGAUAAGUGGAGACAAAAACAUAGAAAGGUUUGCUUAUCCAAGUUGAACUCAGAUUGUUUUGAAUGGCUUUUGGUUGUGCUUUGUUUUGAGCAUCUGUUCGGAACUUUUCAAAUAGAAAUUUCAAACUUUCGUUUCAGUUUGGGGUUGGAAAUAUAUACACUUGGUACACAUCAUAUACAUAUCAUGUGACUCAUGCUUAUCCAAGUUGAACUCAGUUAGGCGCAUGCAGAAAGGUUAUUUUGUGGAUUAUUGAUGUUAUUCUAGUUUAGUUUUAGUUAUGAAUUAUGGAUUAAGAUGAUGUAAUCUUUAUUGGUAUCACUAUCAGGUAAAGUUAUGUAUUUAUUUUCUAGUUUGGGCUUUUGAUAUUAGGCCGAG